GCACACACAGCCACACACACCAGUUUUGUUAAGUGCAUUUCUGGUGCUGUGUUGUCCCGCAGCCUGCCCAAUCCACUCUAAGUACCCGUGGCGAUCACUCCCGAGGACACAGAGCCCUCACGCCGCCUGCUGUCUGCCGCUGGCGCACACCUGUGCCUCCAGGGGUCCCUCUGCCUGCUGCUUCCUGGGCUCCCGGCAUCGACAGACACGGGCACUCACGCUCAUGGAGAUUCUGCAUGGCCCGCUCCGAGGGGCUGCACCGGACACCUCCCUGCAGGGACAGAGGCCGCUGGGCGUCAGGGAGGUCUCCGUGCUCUUCCGUCCGGAGUCUGGAGAAGAAAAUAUGGAAGGAAUGUGCCAUAAGCAGAAGGAAUGAAAGCGGAACAGUCGUGAAGCAUGAAGCUCCAAGGAGAGGUUGAGGCCAGCUGUGAGCCAGGCAGACCGACGUGACAGGGAGUCGCAGGGAGGAACACGCGGUUCUCAAAGCAUGGAACGGAGGCCCUGGGGGUUCCCUGAGGCUCUUGCUGGCGUCUGG
rnacentral:lncRNA from 1 species